rnacentral:rRNA from 1 species
AGUGGAUGGGGAGCAACCUAGUUGUGCGUGUGUAAAGGUAGUGCCAAGAAAAGCGAUGAUCAUGUUGAAAAUCAAUUCCCGGUACCCGAAACCGACACAGGUGGGCAAGUAGAGAAUACUAAGGGGCGCGAGGUAACUCUCUCCAAGGAACUCGGCAAAAUGACCCCGUAACUUAGGGAGAAGGGGUGCCACCGAGAGGUGGUCGCAGUGAAGAGGCCCAGGCGACUGUUUAGCAAAAACAUAGGUCUCUGCAAACUCGAAAGAGGAGGUAUAGGGGCUGACGCCUGCCCAGUGCCGGAAGGUUAAAGAAGUUGGUCAGUUUUAGGAUGAAGCUAGCGACUGAAGCCCCGGUGAACGGCGGCCGUAACUAUAACGGUCCUAAGGUAGCGAAAUUCCUUGUCGGGUAAGUUCCGACCGCACGAAAGGCGUAACGAUCUGGGCGCUGUCUCGGAGAGAGGCUCGGCGAAAUAGGAUUGUCUGUGAAGAUACGGACUACCUGCAUUUGGACAGAAAGACCCUAUGAAGCUUUACUAUAGCUUGGAAUUGUGUUCGGGCUUCCUGUGCGCAGGAUAGGUGGGAGGCGUAGAAGGUAUUCUUGUGGGGAUACUGGAGCCAACGGUGAGAUACCACUCUCAGGAGGCUAGAAUUCUAACUUAAUUAAGGACAGUUUCAGGUGGGUAGUUUGACUGGGGCGGUCGCCUCCAAAAAGGUAACGGAGGCGUACAAAGGUUCCCUCAGACUGGUUGGAAAUCAGUCGAAGAGUGCAAAGGCAGAAGGGAGCUUGACUGCGAGAAGUACAGUUCGAGCAGGGUGGAAACACGGUCUUAGUGAUCCGACGGUGCUGUGUGGAAGGGCCGUCGCUCAACGGAUAAAAGUUACUCUAGGAUAACAGGCUGAUCUCCCCCAAGAGUUCACAUCGACGGGGAGGUUUGGCACCUCGAUGUCGGCUCAUCGCAACCUGGGGCGGAAGUACGUCCCAAGGGUUGGGCUGUUCGCCCAUUAAAGCGGUACGUGAGCUGGGUUCAGAACGUCGUGAGACAGUUCGGUCCAUAUCCGAUGUAGGCGUGAGAAUAUUGAGAGGAGCCUUCCUUAGUACGAGAGGACCGGGAAGGACGCACCGCUGGUGUACCUGUUAUGAUGCCAAUUGUAAACGCAGGGUAGCCAAGUGCGGAGAGGAUAACCGCUGAAAGCAUCUAAGUGGGAAGCCCACCUCAAGAUGAGUAUUCUGGUGUAAGGUCACGGGAAGACGACCCGUAAAUAGGCACGAGGUGGAAGUGCAGAGAUGUAUGAAGCCGAAGUGUACUAAUAGACCGUCGGCUUGACC